rnacentral:rRNA from 1 species
UACGUAGGGUGCAAGCGUUGUCCGGAAUCAUUGGGCGUAAAGAGCGCGUAGGCGGCCCAGUAAGUCCGCUCUGAAAGUCAGAGGCUCAACCUCGAAUGCCGGUGGAUACUGUCGGGCUAGAGUGCGGAAGAGGCGAGUGGAAUUCCUGGUGUAGCGGUGAAAUGCGCAGAUAUCAGGAGGAACACCUAUUGCGAAGGCAGCUCGCUGGGACGUAACUGACGCUGAGACGCGAAAGCGUGGGGAGCAAACAGG